rnacentral:lncRNA from 1 species
GGAGAAUGGCUGUCACAGAAGAGAGGGGAGAAUGGCUGUCGUAGACGAGAGAGAAGAAGGCCUGUCAUAGAGGAGAGAGGAGAAUGGCUGUCGUAGAGGGGAGAAUGGCGUCGUAGACGAGAGAGUAGAAGGCCUGUCGUAGAGGAGAGAGGAGAAUGGCUGUCGUAGAUUAGAGAGGAGAAUAGCUAGCGUAGAGGAGAGAGGAGAAUGGCUGUCGUAGAGUAGAGAGGAAAAUUGCUGUCGUAGAGUAGAGAGGAGAAUUGCUGUCGUAGAGUAGAGAGGAGAAUGGCAGUCGUAGAUUAGAGAGGAGAAUGGCUGUCGUAGAGUAGAGAGGAGAAUGGCAGUCGUAGAUUAGAGAGGAGAAUGGCUGUCGUAGAGGAGAGGGGAGAGCGUAGAGGAGAGAGGAGAAUGG